UACGGAGGGUGCAAGCGUUAUCCGGAUUCAUUGGGUUUAAAGGGAGCGUAGGUGGUCUUGUAAGUCAGUGGUGAAAUCUGGCAGCUUAACUGUUAAAUUGCCAUUGAUACUGCAGGACUUGAGUACAGAUGCCGUUGGCGGAAUAUGACAUGUAGUGGUGAAAUACAUAGAGAUGUCAUAGAACACCGAUUGCGAAGGCAGCUGACGAAACUGUAACUGACACUGAGGCUCGAAAGUGUGGGGAUCAAACAGG
rnacentral:rRNA from 1 species